GAGUCCUUCUGGUGAGAUAGUGGAGGGACGUUCGGUGACCCUGACCUGUGGCAGUGAUGCUAACCCAGCAGCUGACUACACCUGGUACAAGGAGGAUGGGCAGAAAACGAGCAGUAAUGAAUCACAGCUGAUCUUCAGCUCCAUCCAGUCCUCUGACUCUGGACGGUUUAUCUGUAAAGCUGAAAACCAGCUGGGUUGGAAGUGGUCUGAAUACAAACACAUUGAUGUAAAAUGUGAGUGGAACUGAUCUUCAUUUCUGUUCAAUAUCCCAUCCUGUUGCUGUAGUUCACUGAGCAGCUUAGAGAAGAUCCUAGAUGGUUCCCAGGGAAGAGCUGGCACACCACUGCCUUCUGAAUGCUGCAGGAACACAUGCAUGCAUACAUGACCCGACCUGUCACAAACUAAUGCCAAGCAGCACUCCUCUGCUUUUAUUAUCUGGGUUUAGCUCAGAGAUCCACCAGGAACCCAUGUUUCACAGAUGCUCCUCAGCUUCCCUCUGUCUCAGUGAGUCCUCCUGGUCAGCUGGUGGAGGGAGGUUCAGUGACCCUGACCUGCAGCAGUGAUGCUAACCCAGCAGCUAACUACACCUGGUACAAGGAGGAUGAAGAGUCUCCAAAAGUUUCAGGACAGAACUUCAUCAUCACUGACGUCAGACCUGAACACAGUGGAAAUUAUUCCUGUGAAGCUCAGAACACCAGAGGAAGCCAGAUCUCCACAGUUCAUCUGGUGGUGGUCAGAGAUCCAUCUGUGAAGAUAAUGAACAUCAUCAGGUUGACUCUGGUGGUGCUGAUGCUGGUUCCUCUGCUGGUCUUGUGUCUGUGGACGAGGUGAACCAAUAACAACCCACCAGAUCCAUCACCGAUCUUCGAUUCUGUUCUGUUCAGUGGUUCUGAGAAAUGUUCUCACUUCUGUUAACAUGUCAGGUUUUUAUGAUGGAGAAAAAAGACCAUCCUUAAUCAAUUCUUCAAGCUUUUUUACACAUAUAAUAAGCCUUUAACCCUAAAACAAAUAAAAACUGGCAAAUGUAAAAACUAAAAAAAGUGCAACAAUGUGGUUGCAUAACUGUGUGCAUCUUUAAAUUAGCAUUCAGUCUUUUUUCAAUCCUGGUAGCGUUCCUAGACUUGUUAAUGUUUGCAAUGGACCAAAUUAGUAUGGAGGACCAACAGCAGGCCCUGAUCACAGGGCCUCAGGGAACUGCUGGGGAGGUUUGGAUGCAAUAUUCCUCUGAUAUAAGCUGGAACCUGUCCAUGAAGAGCUCUCCAAGCCAGAACAAAGAGGUUAAAGGUAAAUCAGGGGCCAAUGCAGCAUUAGCAACGGAGUCACGUGAGAAUUUGGAAGAUUUUAUCAGAAGCCUUUCAGCAGCUUUCCAAACAACCUGCAAGAGAGCUUUAAGCAGAGGAAACCCAUUAACCCAAAGAGUGAAGUCAGAACCAGAAACUGAUCUCUUUUUAAUGGGACUCAUAAUGUCCAGAAUAGAACGCCGGUGUUCAUUAAAGUGCUCAAUCAGGAUAUCUACACAUCUAAAUCAGAAUAAAAGUGGAUUAAAAACAACAGAGAAAAGACGUCAGUAGUACGAGAAGUGAGAGCUAAGCUGAGCUGAAGACUGGAAAUAAUACACUUGUGGUCAGAAAUGGACAUUUCCACUGAGCAAAUAAAAUCUAUGUUUAAACCUAA